CGCGUAGGUGGUAGUGUAAGUCUGAGGUGGAAUCCCAGGGCUUAACCCUGGAACUGCCUUGGAAACUGCAUUACUUGAGUCAGUGAGGGGAGGGUAGAAUUCCUGGUGUAGCGGUGAAAUGCGUAGAUAUCAGGAGGAAGGCCUGUGGCGAAGGCGGCCCUCUGGUGCUGGACUGACACUGAGGCGCGAAAGCGUGGGGAGCAAACAGGAUUAGAUACCCUGGUAAUCCACGCCCUAAACGGUGGGCACUAGGUGUAGGGCUCGUAAGGGUUCUGUGCCGAAGGGAAACCAUUAAGUGCCCCGCCUGGGGAGUACGGCCGCAAGGUUGAA
rnacentral:rRNA from 1 species